UACGUAGGGUGCAAGCGUUGUCCGGAAUUAUUGGGCGUAAAGAGCUUGUAGGCGGUCUGUCGCGUCUGCUGUGAAAAUCCGGGGCUCAACCCCGGACUUGCAGUGGGUACGGGCAGACUAGAGUGUGGUAGGGGGAGACUGGAAUUCCUGGUGUAGCGGUGAAAUGCGCAGAUAUCAGGAGGAACACCGAUGGCGAAGGCAGGUCUCUGGGCCACUACUGACGCUGAGGUGCGAAAGCGUGGGGAGCAAACAGG
rnacentral:rRNA from 1 species